rnacentral:rRNA from 1 species
ACACUCCUACGGGAGGCAGCAGUGGGGAAUAUUGCACAAUGGGCGCAAGCCUGAUGCAGCCAUGCCGCGUGUAUGAAGAAGGCCUUCGGGUUGUAAAGUACUUUCAGCGGGGAGGAAGGCGAUAAGGUUAAUAACCUUGUCGAUUGACGUUACCCGCAGAAGAAGCACCGGCUAACUCCGUGCCAGCAGCCGCGGUAAUACGGAGGGUGCAAGCGUUAAUCGGAAUUACUGGGCGUAAAGCGCACGCAGGCGGUCUGUCAAGUCGGAUGUGAAAUCCCCGGGCUCAACCUGGGAACUGCAUUCGAAACUGGCAGGCUAGAGUCUUGUAGAGGGGGGUAGAAUUCCAGGUGUAGCGGUGAAAUGCGUAGAGAUCUGGAGGAAUACCGGUGGCGAAGGCGGCCCCCUGGACAAAGACUGACGCUCAGGUGCGAAAGCGUGGGGAGCAAACAGGAUUAGAUACCCCAGUAGUCCCAUGA